rnacentral:rRNA from 1 species
AUGUUGAGGGCAAAGCAACUCAGCACGCUAACCCAGUGUGCACGGUCCUUCUAUCUUAGUGGGUCAAGGUGUGGUAGCGCGGAUGGAGCUUCGUGCACGUGCCCUGAUGAUGACACUUGUGGUUCAAAGAGGCAGACUGCGAGUGCUAUCGAGCGCAGAUCGUCUGUGAAGGUUCAGCCUCCGUCUGCGCAGCAUGUUGCUGGUAGUGCUACUGGAUACCCAACUCAAGCUGUUAAUGUCAUUCCUUCCACCUCAUCUCCAGACAAGGAGCCAGCAUCAAGCAACAGAAGUAACCAUCCUGGUAACCGUCAGGUUCAAGGAAAUAAUUAUGUGCAGCCCUCUAAGCAGGCCGCCAGGGGCAUUUCUCAGUCCGGAAUCGCAGGAGCUGGUGUGUAUAAUGAGUUGGUAAAUUUGAAGUCCUCCUCGAAUAAUGGAAGCACUAAGCAAGUUCCACAGGCUGGUGCCAACUAUUCUAGCAAGCCAUUAUCUGGUGGCCAGUCUUCUAAUAACAAGGCAAAUAAUCAGCAUAGCCAUGCUGGGGCAAAUACACCUUGUGCCCCUUCCAUGCAAAAUGAUUUUGGGAAGGGGGGCUCAAGAUCUGGAUACGCAAAGCCAAAGCAGAAUUUCUCAGGGCCAGCGGCUGCAGUUUCCGGUUCACCGUCACAAGUAAGGAAUCAAAGGCAUCCUAAUCAAGGCCACUCAAAUUACCAUUCUAAUAAUAGUCCCAAUUCAGAUGGCAGGUGGGCUGGAGUUCAAACUCGCAACUUCUCAGCUCCAACUGUUUAUAGUGGCCCCUCUGACAAAUCUCAGGGCCCUUUAGGAACAAUAAAAGGUCAUGGUGGAGGACCGCAGUCCAACUUAAGAUCACUGAAGUCGUUGCGGGCAGUCGAACAGUAUUACCAUACGCUGCAGCAGAUGAAGUGGGGUCCCAUGACGGAACAUGUUCUUGAUAAUCUCCGUUGCAAGAUUGAUGCGUUCCAGGCCAAUCAAGUGCUGAAGCUGCUUCAUGACCACAACAUCGCGCUUGGUUUCUUCCACUGGUUGAAGCGGCAGCCAGGGUUCAAGCAUGAUGGCCAUACCUACACCACCAUGAUAGGGAUCCUCGGACAGGCAAAGCAGUUUGGCACGAUGAGGAAGCUUCUCGAUGAGAUGAGCUUGGUAAACUGCAAGCCGACCGUGGUGACAUACAACAGAAUAAUACACGCGUAUGGCCGUGCAAACUUUCUGAGAGAGGCUGUUCAGGUCUUCGAGGAGAUGGAGGGAGCUGGUUACGAGCCUGAUCGCGUCACAUACUGCACACUGAUCGAUAUCCAUGCUAAGUCAGGGUACCUGGAAGUGGCCAUGGAUUUGUAUGGCAGGAUGCAAGAAGUCGGCCUGUCGCCCGAUACUUUCACCUACAGCGCCAUGGUCAAUUGCCUUGGAAAAGGGGGCCAGCUGGCGGCCGCCUACAAGCUUUUCUGCGAGAUGAUCGAGAAUGGGUGCACGCCCAACCUGGUUACUUACAACAUAAUAAUCGCCCUGCAGGCCAAGGCAAGAAACUACGACAAUGUCGUGAAGCUGUACAGGGACAUGCAGAUCGCCGGAUUCCGUCCCGACAAGAUAACCUACAGCAUUGUCAUGGAGGUUCUUGGUCACUGUGGUCAUCUGGAUGAGGCUGAGGCUGUGUUCCUCGAGAUGAGGCGCGACUGGGCUCCUGACGAGCCCGUGUAUGGCCUUCUGGUGGACCUCUGGGGCAAGGCCGGGAAUGUCGACAAGGCGUUAGGGUGGUACCAUGCGAUGCUCCAGGAUGGUUUGCAGCCCAACGUGCCCACCUGCAAUUCCCUCCUGAGUGCUUUCCUGAAGCUCAACAGGUUUCAGGACGCCUACAGCGUGCUCCAGAACAUGCUUGCGCAGGGGCUCGUCCCGUCUCUCCAGACGUACACCUUGCUGCUCAGCUGCUGCACCGACGCUCACGCUUCGAUGGGGCUAUGCUGCCAGCUCAUGGCCAUCACCGGACACCCGGCCCACAUGUUCUUGCUCUACCUGCCCGACGCCGAGCCCGGCGGCGAGAACGUGAGGGACCACGCCAGGUAUUUCCUGGACAUGAUGCACAGCGAGGACAGGGAGAGCAAGAGGGGCAUAAUGGACGCCGUCAUAGACUUCCUGCACAAGUCCGGCCUCAAGGAGGAGGCCGGCUUCAUCUGGGAGGUGGCCGCGCAGAAGAACGUCUACCCGGACUCCGUGAGGGAGAAGAGCUCCUCCUACUGGCUCAUCAACCUCCACCUCAUGUCCGAGGGCACCGCCGUCACCGCUCUCUCCAGGACGCUCGCCUGGUUCCACAGGCAGAUGCUGCUCAUGGGCUCCUGCCCCGAGAGGAUCGACAUCGUCACCGGCUGGGGGAGGAGGAGCAGGGUCACUGGCUCCUCGCUGGUCCGCCAGUCCAUCGAGAAGCUGCUGCAUCUCUUCCAGUUCCCGCUCUUCGCUGCCCGCGGCAACACCGGCUGCUUCGUCGGGUGCGGGGAACCGCUCAGUCAGUGGCUGCACAACCCCUAUGUCGAGCGCAUGCAUUUGCUCUAG